rnacentral:rRNA from 1 species
GGACAGAAAGACCCUAUGAAGCUUUACUGUAGUUUGGAAUUGGGUUCGGGCUCUUCUUGCGCAGCCUAGGUGGGAGGCUAUGAAGAUAAACUUUUGGGUUUAUUGGAGCCAACAGUGAGAGACCACUCUAGAGGAGCUAGAAUUCUAAUGGCGUUCCUUGAAGCAGGACGCUUGACAGUUUCAGAUGGGCAGUUUGACUGGGGCGGUCACCUCCUAAAAGGUAACGGAGGUGUGCAAAGGUUCCCUCAGGCUGGACGGAAAUCAGCCGUAGAGUGUAAAGGCAGUAGGGAGCUUGACUGCAAGACCUACAAGUCGAGCAGGGGCGAAAGCCGGCCUUAGUGAUCCGACGGUUCCGAGUGGAAGGGCCGUCGCUAAACGGAUAAAAGUUACUCUAGGGAUAACAGGCUGA